rnacentral:rRNA from 1 species
UUGGACGGGGCCCGCACAAGCGGAGGAACAUGUGGUUAAUUCGAUGAUACGCGAGGAACCUUACCUGGGCUUAAAUGUAGAGUGCAUUUUUUAGAGAUAGAAAUUCCCUUCGGGGCUUUCUGCAAGGUGCUGCAUGGUUGUCGUCAGCUCGUGCCGUGAGGUGUCGGGUUAAGUCCCAUAACGAGCGCAACCCUUAUCGUUAGUUGCCAUCUGGUAAUGCAGGGGACUCUAGCGAAACUGCCACCGUAAGGUGAGAGGAAGGUGGGAUGACGUCAAAUCAGCACGGCCCUUAUGUCCAGGGCUACACACGUGUUACAAUGGUCGGUACAGAGGGCAGCUACCUGGUGACAGGAUGCUAAUCUCGAAAACCGGUCUCAGUUCGGAUCGAAGUCUGCAACUCGACUUCGUGAAGCUGGAUUCGCUAGUAAUCGCGCAUCAGCUAUGGCGCGGUGAAUACAUUCCCGGGCCUU